GGGCGCGUAGCUCAAUGGUAGAGCAGUCGACUUAUACUCGACCGGCUGUAGGUUCGAGUCCUACCGCGCCCA
rnacentral:tRNA from 1 species